rnacentral:rRNA from 1 species
UACGUAGGGGGCAAGCGUUGUCCGGAAUUAUUGGGCGUAAAGAGCGUGUAGGCGGUCCGGUAAGUCAGCUGUGAAAGUCAAGGGCUCAACCCUUGAAUGCCGGUUGAUACUGUCGGGCUAGAGUCCGGAAGAGGCGAGUGGAAUUCCCGGUGUAGCGGUGAAAUGCGCAGAUAUCAGGAGGAACACCGGUGGCGAAGGCGGGUCUCUGGGCAACAACUGACGCUGAGGAGCGAAAGCGUGGGGAGCGAACGGG